UACGGAGGGAGCUAGCGUUGUUCGGAUAUACUGGGCGUAAAGCGCACGUAGGCGGCGCCGUAAGUCAGGGGUGAAAUCCCGGAGCUCAACUCCGGAACUGCCCUUGAAACUGCAGUGCUAGAAUCCUGGAGAGGCGAGUGGAGUUCCGAGUGUAGAGGUGAAAUUCGUAGAUAUUCGGAAGAACACCAGUGGCGAAGGCGACUCGCUGGACAGGUAUUGACGCUGAGGUGCGAAAGCGUGGGGAGCAAACAGG
rnacentral:rRNA from 1 species